rnacentral:lncRNA from 1 species
AUUCUCCCGUGACGGUGACUCCAACGGUUGGCUGAGGACGAUUCCCUGAGCCUUGACAAAGCAGGAGCCCUCCGUGGCGGUGCGUCGGUGUCGAGGCUCCAGUCUGACUAAUCCAGGGGGUCGACAAAACAGAUUCGGGACACUAUGCUACACGGAGGGCCUACCAGGAUGCAGAAACAGCAGACGGAGUCCAGGGAAAGCAGUGCGGCAUCCCAGCCUCAGGCCUGCCCGUACGGUGUUCGGAAAUACUAGGCUUUAGAAUUUCACCAUAUGAAUUUUGGGAGAGAGGAGCACAGUUCAGCCCAUAACUAACACACGACGGAAUGAAGUUGAUAAUAGUGAGACCUUGUUGGUACAAGACUAUGUAACAUAACCUGCGCUUCUCAACAAAGAAUUGCUUUUCUGACUUCUGCACUCAACUACUCAACAUGAAGGCAAUAAGAAUGAAGACCUCUAUGUAUAAUAAUUGACUUCCACUUAAUAAAUACCUGAACAGAUGUUGAGUACAAGCUGAUCCACCUACGUUCAACCUGAGAGAGUCCACAUCCACAGACUGUUUCAUUUCCCUUUUUCAAUUUACAUAGAAGCAUAGAUUCUUGCUGGCAUAUACAAAUGCGCCAUUUAAGGCAAUCAAAAAUGGUUCCACAUCUCAUCUGAUUUCCACAAUUGUUGCUGUAACGAUGGACUACUGAGGAGAGAGACAAUUUCUCUGGCACAUCUUCCCACAUUUUAGCAACAUGUUCAUGGAGAGCCAAUAUUCAGUAAUUACAGCCCAAUUCCUCACAAUUUCACAAUUCGCUAACAAUAUGCAUUUUCACAAUGUAAAGCUGAUUUUCCUUUAACCAAAUCAAACAUGAAAAGAUAGCUGCAUGCAAUGGGCAAUCUAGAUCAUUAGAAGAUUGAUGUAAAAUUAGAGGACACUGAGACUGGAAUAGAUUGCAAACUUCAGGGAGCUCAGAAAACUUGUAAACUCUACAUUUUGAGGAAAUAUGUUGUCGAUGCUUUUGCAACUCUAUGCAGUAACUUAACAAAUAAAGCCUUAAAGUAACU